rnacentral:rRNA from 1 species
CCUACGGGAGGCAGCAGUGGGGAAUUUUGGACAAUGGGCGCAAGCCUGAUCCAGCGACGCCGCGUGGAGGACGAAGGCCUUCGGGUUGUAAACUCCUUUUGGAGGGGAAGAAUAAAUUGACGGUACCCUCAGAAAAAGCCACGGCUAACUACGUGCCAGCAGCCGCGGUAAUACGUAGGUGGCGAGCGUUACUCGGAAUUACUAGGCGUAAAGCGUAUGUAGGUGGUUAGAUAAGUCUAUGGUGAAAUUUCCUGGCUCAACUGGGAAGG